rnacentral:rRNA from 1 species
GAUGAACGCUGGCGGCGUGCCUAAUACAUGCAGGUCGAGCGAACGGACGAGAAGCUUGCUUCUCUGAUGUUAGCGGCGGACGGGUGAGUAACACGUGGAUAACCUACCUAUAAGACUGGGAUAACUUCGGGAAACCGGAGCUAAUACCGGAUGAUAUUUUGAACCGCAUGGUUCAAAAGUGAAAGACGGUCUUGCUGUCACUUAUAGAUGGAUCCGCGCUGCAUUAGCUAGUUGGUAAGGUAACGGCUUACCAAGGCAACGAUGCAUAGCCGACCUGAGAGGGGGAUCGGCCACACUGGAACUGAGACACGGUCCAGACUCCUACGGGAGGCAGCAGUAGGGAAUCUUCCGCAAUGGGCGAAAGCCUGACGGAGCAACGCCGCGUGAGUGAUGAAGGUCUUCGGAUCGUAAAACUCUGUUAUUAGGGAAGAACAUAUGUGUAAGUAACUGUGCACAUCUUGACGGUACCUAAUCAGAAAGCCACGGCUAACUACGUG